UCGCAGACGACUGCGGCGUCCGGAGGAUGCAACUGUCGCGGGGACGGCCUCGC
rnacentral:sRNA from 1 species